rnacentral:ncRNA from 1 species
GGACCUCAGAUCAUGCAAGACUACCCGCUAAGUUUAAGCAUAUCACUAGGCGGAGGAAAAAGAAACAAACAA